rnacentral:rRNA from 1 species
UUAAUACUGCUGUAGUUAAAACGCCCGUAGUAUACCUAAGAGUGGGUGUGUAGUAAUUAGUUUUAUCAGAGGACGGUUGGCGAGAGUUUAUCACUCUUGUUUGCCUACUUUUGGUAGACUUCAGUCGGGCUGGAUCUUUGGUCCUUGUCUGACAGUUGCUACGUACUUACUUACCACGGUUCAUCCGUGAGGCCCUUGGCUUGCAACUGUAAAUAAAUCGUUGUGCUUAAAGCGGGCUAUGAUACUCUGCCAGAGCGAUUUAGCAUGGGACUGCAGAGUAGCUGUAUUUGAGUGAAGGUCGCACCUCGGUGUAGCUGGAGCUUGGUACAGCGCUUGUAAUGGAGCUCAGGGUGAGGCCCCGGGUACCAUGAGGCUAGAGGUGAAAUUCUGAGACCCUCAUGUGACCAACUAAGGCGAAAGCUGUCGUGGGCCACCACAAGCUCGUCUAUCAGGGACGAAAGUUGGGGGAUCGAAGACGAUUAGAUACCGUCGUAGUCCCAACUAUAAACGAUACCAACCGAGUAUUUGGGAAGACACUAUCCCAGCGAUCUUCUCAGAACUCAAGGGAAACCUUAAGUCUUUGGGUUCUGGGGGGAGUAUAGUCGCAAGACCGAAACUUAAAGGAAUUGACGGAAAGGCACCACCAGGAGUGGAGUCUGCGGCUUAAUUCGACUCAACACGGGGAAACUCACCAGGUCAGGACACAAGUUUGAUUGACAGGUUAAUAGCCCUUUCUUGAUUGUGUGGUGGGUAGUGCAUGGCCGUUUCCAGUUCGUGGAGUGAUCUGUCUUGUUAAUUCAGAUAACGAACGAGACCUAAGCCUUUAACUAGCCGUAGGCCUUUUCCUUCGGGGAAGGGUUAGUUUGUCGGAACAGGUUUCGGCCUGUUCCAAAACCUACGAGACUUUUGUCAGCUUCUUAAAGGGACUUCAUUCGUAAACUAGGAUGAGGAAGAUUUAGGCCAUAACAGGUCUGUGAUGCUCUUAGAUGUCCUGGGCUGCACGCGUACUACAAUAACGGUACCAGCGAGCGCUAUGGUUUUAUAACCCCUUAUCCUAAUAGGAUUGGGAAAACUUUUCAAACACCGUUAUGACAGGGAUCGAGGAUUGGAACAUCCUCGUGAACGAGGAAUUCCUAGUAAGCGUGGUUCAUCAUACCACAUUGAUUACGUCCCUGCCUUUUGUACACACCGCCCGUCGCUCCUACCGAUGGGACGAAGAGAUGAACCUGGCGGACCGAACCGCAAGGUAAGGGAAACCAGUUAAAUCUCUUCGUCUGUAGGAAGGAAAAGUCGUAACAAGGUCUUCGUAGGUGAACCU